rnacentral:rRNA from 1 species
CCUACGGGAGGCAGCAGUGAGGAAUAUUGGACAAUGGGCGCAAGCCUGAUCCAGCCAUGCCGCGUGCAGGAAGACGCAUCUAUGGUGUGUAAACUGCUUUUGUACGGGAAGAAACACUCCUUCGUGAAGGAGCUUGACGGUACCGUAAGAAUAAGGAUCGGCUAACUCCGUGCCAGCAGCCGCGGUAAUACGGAGGAUCCAAGCGUUAUCCGGAAUCAUUGGGUUUAAAGGGUCCGUAGGCGGUUUAAUAAGUCAGUGGUGAAAUCUGGUCGCUCAACGAUCAAACGGCCAUUGAUACUGUUAGACUUGAAUUACUAGGAAGUAACUAGAAUAUGUAGUGUAGCGGUGAAGUGCUUAGAUAUUACAUGGAAUACCAAUUGCGAAGGCAGGUUACUACUAGUGGAUUGACGCUGAUGGACGAAAGCGUGGGGAGCGAACAGGAUUAGAUACCCUGGUAGUCCACGCCGUAAACGAUGGAUACUAGCUGUUGGGCGCAAGUUCAGUGGCUAAGCGAAAGUGAUAAGUAUCCACCUGGGGAGUACGUUCGCAAGAAUUGAAACUUCAAAGGAAUUGACGG